UCUUUUCCCUCCCGUCUGCGCAACACCGUGACUGCAGAACGGCGGCGGCGUAACUCAACACAGGCCAAAUCCUUGAUUCUACCAUUGCCCGUGGCGAUAUUCAGCAAAAAACGCGCGCGUGGGUGUCGUUGAGCUCGACUCGGCUGAGCAGAAGGGCAUCUACGGAGAGACAGAGAAGGACAACAGAAAACUGAAGUUCGCGAGUGUUUCAUCCGCACUCUCUGCCUGUGUACAAGCCUCUACCUCCCUCUGUUGACGGCGCCUGCGCAUGUGCUGCAGCAUCAUACCAACAACUACACGCACGUACACUUCUGCGCAGAUACUUAGAUACACAAACAGACACAGACACACCGACUCCCUCUCGCUUGACGACGCGAAGUAACGGCGUUGGCCUGCGCGGAUGAGAGAGGCAGCAACGAAAACCACCAUCGAAUUCGGCACGUCAUAGAAACCCUCAAGAGGAGCAAGUCGGAUUGCCGACAGCACGAGUGCGCUGCCAAACCACAAUAGAGGCGGAAGCCGCUCGGGUUUGAUUUCAGCCGUCCGCGUGCCUUUCGGCAUCACAGUAAAGUGCGCGCGAACUGAGGAACACCCCUAGUCCGAGCUGUACCUGCUUAGCUGUGGCAAAUCUUCGUUAUGUCGUUCGGCGGCUUUGGGACGGGGGCAGGGGCUGGCGGUUUCGGAGCAAAGCCGGCAACGGCGGCUGGCUUCGGCGCAACUCCAUCGACGGGGGCUGGAACUGGCGCGGCAGCUCCUGCAAGCGGCGGCCGUGGCUUCGGAGGCUUUGGCACCGGCGCUACAGCGACCGCGGCCACCGCAACGACUGGCGGCUUCGGCGCUGCUCCUGCCCUCGCUGGCGGCUUCGGCGCUGCUCCUGCCCCCACUGGCGGCUUCGGCGCUGCUCCUGCCCCCACUGGCGGCUUCGGCGCUGCUCCUGCCCCCACUGGCGGCUUCGGCGCUGCUCCUGCCCCCACUGGCGGCUUCGGCGCUGUAGGGACAACAGGAUUCGGUGCAAAACCCGGCUUUGGCGCCGCCCCUGCUGCUGGCGGCUUUGGUGCGGGCGGAGGGCUCGGCACCGGCGCUACGGCAGGAGGCAGUGGCGGCUUUGGUUCCGCAGCCACCUCCGGCCUCGGCGCCGGCCGCGGUUGUGGCUUUGGCAUGCCGGGCGGGUUCGGGAGUACGGCUGCUUCUGCUGCCCCGGCCGCACCGACGGCUCAGCAGUACCCAUACCUGGGUAUUAAGGGUCCAGGCAAUGCCACCAGCUGGGCACGCGACAUUGACUUCUCUCAGGUGACGGAGCAGGUCCGCUUCGAGGCACUGCCGCAGCCGCUGCAGCAGCACCUGAUGGAGCUACGCAGUUUCAUGCACGCGGAGCGGGACGCGGCCAAGAAGGUGUAUUUAUACUUCAAUGAGUCUGAUGGCGCGGAUCCGGCUGCCGCUGCCACCGCCAACAGCGCCACCGGGAGCUCUGCCGCCACGGCGGCUUCCUCCAGUUAUCGCAAACUCCUUGCCCAGAUGGCAGCACUGAAGGGUGGCGGUAACCGUGCCGUCGAUCUUGUCGCGGUGCACUGCAACCAGCAUGAAGGGCAAGCGCGUCGUCAGCUACAGCGUCUCGAGAAGUUGGAGGCCAACAUCCGCGACUACGAGCGGCAUGUGUGGGAACCGUUACUGGAGCAAGGGCUGCCGUCAUCGCUGGCCGGCAGUGGAAUGAACGUCCGCGGUGGCGCAUAUCGUCCCGGCGCGAGCAACGGUGCCGCCUCUCCUUUUGUGUCUUUGGUCGAGGAGUUGAGCCGUCGCAUGGACCACGUUAGCAGCGCUCUCACUGAGCUGGAGGCCACACUGGUGCCGCCAGGUCGUUCGCUGCGCGGCACCGGCGUGAGUGGUCGUCACGGUCACCAAAACGGCAGCGCCAUCCCGAACGACGCGAUUGCUCAGAUCAACGCCGCCCUCUUGUACGAGCUGAACCAGCUACAGGACUCCUCCUGUGUGGCCGCGCAUCUGCACAGUCGCACCAACACUGCCCGCGAAUUCUUCACGCGCCAGUACGGACAAGCGGAGGCGGACGUGCUCUUCGCCGAUACCGAACAACAGCGCAACGGCACGGCUCUGUUCCGUCGGGCAUCGCCGUCGACGUACUUCGACAUUCCUCCGCUUCCACAGCAGCCUGCUGCGGCACCUGCUGCGGUCACCACCACGAGCGGCGCUGCACCGAUCACGGGGUUUGGCGCAGGCGUCACCUCUGCGCUGGGUGGAGGCUUCGGUGCGACAUCCGGUGGUGGUGUCUUCGGGACAGCCUCCUCCGCUGGUACAGCUGGAGCGCUGACCACUGGAGGAUUCGGUGCCCCUGCAACGGCUGCGGCCGCACCAGCAGGGGGUGGUGCGGUAGGUGGCGUUGGCUUUGGCGCAGCAGCGGGUGGAACAGCAUCGGCUCCAGCGGCAGGCCUGGCCCCGGCCACUGGCGGUUUCGGGGCAGCGCCAACGGCUGGAGGUUUUGGAGCUGCUUCAGCUUCUGCCACUACUGCACCGGCUGCUACUGGUGCUCCCCCCUCCGCGCCGUCCAUGGGCCCUGCGGCCCCUGGUGCUGCGCCGACUGCCUUCAACUUGGGCGGCGGCGCCGCAGCUACUGCCACUGGCUUUGGGAUGGCACCGGGCAAGUCUGGGGCUGGAGACGGUGGCGAUCGCCCGUCUCAGCGGACCCGUUAAUAAGCGAAGCAUGCGCGCUUCUGUGUGUGGUGAUGCAUUGCCCCUCUCUCGUUUGCGCAUGUGUGGGAGAUGCGUGACAAGGCGGGGAGAUGCUGGAGAUGGGAAGCCUGUAAGCGUAUUGUGUGCCGAGAGAUGGUGACAGUGGU
rnacentral:misc_RNA from 1 species